UACGUAGGGGGCAAGCGUUGUCCGGAUUUAUUGGGCGUAAAGAGCGUGUAGGCGGCCUGACAGGUCUGCUGUGAAAACUCGAGGCUCAACCUCGAGAUGUCGGCGGAAACCGUCUGGCUAGAGUCCGGAAGAGGAGAGUGGAAUUCCUGGUGUAGCGGUGGAAUGCGCAGAUAUCAGGAGGAACAUCCGUGGCGAAGGCGGCUCUCUGGGACGGUACUGACGCUGAGACGCGAAAGCGUGGGGAGCGAACAGG
rnacentral:rRNA from 1 species